GACGAACGCUGGCGGCGUGCCUAAUACAUGCAAGUAGAACGCUGAAGAGAGGAGCUUGCUCUUCUUGGAUGAGUUGCGAACGGGUGAGUAACGCGUACGUAACCUGCCUGGCAGCGGGGGAUAACUAUUGGAAACGAUAGCUAAUACCGCAUAAAAUUGAUUAUUGCAUGAUAAUUAAUUGAAAGAUGCAACUGCUUCACUACCAAAUGGACCUGCGUUGAUAUUAGCUAGUUGGUGAGGUAACGGCUCACCAAGGCGACAAUACAUAGCCGACCUGAGAGGGUGAUCGGCCACACUGGGACUGAGGCACGGCCCACACUCCUACGGGAGGCAGCAGUAGGGAAUCUUCGGCAGUGGGGGGAACCCUGACCGAGCAACGCCGCGUGAGUGAACAAGGUUUUCGGAUCGUAAAGCUCUGUUGUAAGAGAAGAACGGGUGUGAGAGUGGAAAGUUCACACUGUGACGGUAUCUUACCAGAAAGGGACGGCUAACUACGUGCCAGCAGCCGCGGUAAUACGUAGGUCCCGAGCGUUGUCCGGAUUUAUUGGGCGUAAAGCGAGCGCAGGCGGUUAGAUAAGUCUGAGGUUAAGGCUGUGGCUUAACCAUAGUAUGCUUUGGAAACUGUUUAACUUGAGUGCAGAAGGGGAGAGUGGAAUUCCAUGUGUAGCGGUGAAAUGCGUAGAUAUAUGGAGGAACACCGGUGGCGAAAGCGGCUCUCUGGUCUGUAACUGACGCUGAGGCUCGAAAGCGUGGGGAGCAAACAGGAUUAGAUACCCUGGUAGUCCACGCCGUAAACGAUGAGUGCUAGGUGUUAGGCCCUUUCCGGGGCUUAGUGCCGCAACUAACGCAUUAAGCACUCCGCCUGGGGAGUACGACCGCAAGGUUGAAACUCAAAGGAAUUGACGGGGGCCCGCACAAACGGUGGAGCAUGUGGUUUAAUUCAAAGCAACGCGAAGAACCUUACCAGGUCUUGACAUCCCUCUGACCGCUCUAGGGAUAGAGUUUUCCUUCGGGACAGAGGUGACAGGUGGUGCAUGGUUGUUGUCAGCUCGUGUCGUGAGAUGUUGGGUUAAGUCCCGCAACGAGCGCAACCCCUAUUGUUAGUUGCUAUCAUUCAGUUGGGCACUCUAGCGAGACUGCCGGUAAUAAACCGGAGGAAGGUGGGGAUGACGUCAAAUCAUCAUGCCCCUUAUGACCUGGGCUACACACGUGCUACAAUGGGUGGUACAACGAGUCGCAAGCCGGUGACGGCAAGCUAAUCUCUGAAACCCAGUCUCAGUUCGGAUUGUAGGCUGCAACUCGCUUCCAGGAAGUCGGAAUCGUUAGUAAUCGCGGAUCAGCGCGCCGCGGUGAAUACGUUCCCGGGCCU
rnacentral:rRNA from 1 species